GGCGAGAGAAUACGGUCAAGCUCGAAAGGGAGCAGCGCAAGAGUG
rnacentral:SRP_RNA from 13 species